GUUACAGAAAGUUUGGAGUCCCAU
rnacentral:miRNA from 1 species